AUGACAGAGGAGGAGAAACUCCUAAUCCGAACUUUCAAUGCUGUGAAGCUACCAACAAGACAAAUAAUAGCAAUCCUAAGUUACUUGAGAGGCGGGAACACUCCUUACACCAAAAAGCAUGUAAGCAAUGUUAGAACAGCCAUUGGCAAAGAGAGCAAUCAAAAUGACAUGAUGCAGGUGCUAACAUAUUUCAGGAAGAGACAAGCUGAAGAUCCACAAUUUUACUAUGCGUUCAAAACAACUAAAGUCUCUGAUGACGCAAGUAAAGUUUUGUGCAUUUUCUGGGCUGACGGGUAUUCUAGGAAAAUGUACGAGCUAUACGGAGACUGCCUCAGCUUCGACACAACAUUCAAGACAAACAGAUACAACCUCCCAUUUGCUCCCUUUGUUGGUGUCACAGGACAUGGCCAGAACUGUUUGUUUGCUUGCUCUAUCAUAGAGAAUGAAACAGCUGACACCUUUCAAUGGUUGUUUGAGACAUUCUUGCAUUGCAUGGGUGGGAAAUCUCCGUCCACAAUCAUAACAGACGAGGAUGCUGGGAUGAAGACAGCUAUCCCUUUAGUUUUCCCGCAUAUCUGCCACAGGCGUUGUUUGUUUCAUAUUAAAAAGAAGGCUGAGGAAAAAUGUACUAGGACUUUUGCAGCAAAUAAAACACUGCAUGAUGAUUUCAGUGACAUCAUUCACAACUCUCUGACGGUGGCUGAGUUUGAGCAAUUGUGGACAGAGAUGAUCCAGAGAUACAACAUUGGGCAUGUGAAGUAUUUCCAAAUCAUGUGGAAGAAAAGGAAAAGGUUUGUCCCUGUGUAUUUCAAGACGGACUUCUUCCCCUUCAUUCACUCUACUGCGCGUAGUGAAGGCACCAACGCCAUUUUCAAGGACAACAUCACGUCAACUCACAAUGUGAUCAGCUUCCUCCAAGAGUACCAGAAGAUUUCAGAAACCAUACAAGAUAAGGAGAGGGAGCAAGACUCUAUCACAAGAACAACUUCGCCGACAUUCUGGGCACGAAGUGAGCUUGAGAUACAAGCUGCAAAAAUGUACAACAGAAAGAUAUUUUACAGAUUCCAAAAGCAGAUAAAGUUUGUGCUGAAUUUGCAUGUUGAAGAGGUUGAGAGAAAUGUGAAAUAUGAAGUCUACAAGACACCAAUGCUAGCUGAAAAGGAUUUCAGAACGCGAAGAUUUGUUGUGAUUGUGAACUUGCAGCAACAGUUGUUCAGUUGUAUCUGUGGGAAAUUUCAGAAAGAUGGCAUUGUGUGUUGCCAUGUCUUGAGAGUCCUUUCUCAUCUCAACAUGUCUGUGCUGCCAGAAAAAUAUUACAUAGACAGGUGGAGGCCAAAAAAUACAAAGGACAUACGGGACAUCCGUUUCAAUGUUCCUUUGGAACUAACUGCUGGAAGUCAACACUUAAGGUAUACCCUUCUAUCCAACAGGCUCAAUGAGAUGGCCUCGGAUGGUGCAUCAACAAACAGAAAAUAUCUGUAUGUUGUAGCAGAAUGUGAAAGGGUGCAACAAAGGUUGGAUGAGAUGACUAAAGAGGAUGAACUUGCAGAAGCGCAACAAGCAAAUGUUGACAAGGACACAACAGAGACUGAUGCAGCACCGCAUCCUGAUGGUUAUGGAGACACACUUCAAGAUCCUGAUGUUGCAGUGUCAAAAGGGCGUCCACAAAAAGGACGUUACAAAACUUUCAUGGAAAGUUUGGUAUCUAAACAGAAAGUCACAUGCAGUCAGUGUGGGAAGCCUGAUCAUUAUAAAAGUUCUUGUACUGCAAGUACUGAAGAUGUCAAUUUGGCUCAGAGAGAGAAAGUCAGUCGCAAACAAACCUCAGCCUCAUCUGGGACAUCUACGGGCAAGCAACCAGCUGGUGCAAACCCGAGGAGGAAGGCAAGAAAAGAAAAAUGA
rnacentral:rRNA from 1 species